CAUCAGUCGGCAUGCCAAGGGUGGGAUCAAUUGGCUGCACAAGCUCCUGCUCCAGAAGAGGGGGCUCAAGACCAGGAAGGCAGCAGACCUGUGGUGCCAGGACGGGCUCCAUGACCCCAAGCGCCUGGGAUAUAGAAAUCUGGCCAGGGUGGGAGAGGUCUUCGGAGAAAUAUUCACCGAAGACCAGAAGAGGAGUUUCCUCCAGGCGGGCCUGCUGGCCAUCCACCACCCCCACAACCGCAUCAGCCAUGCUGGCCUGGUGCUGACGUAUUCCAUCGUGGGGGAAGCCGGCCAGCUGCUAGAGGACGAGGGGGAAAUUACAAACAAAAUCAUGGGACAGCUAUUUAAUAUCAGGUUCAUGGGCAAGCUGCCCGACGCCCUGAAGGGGCUGUGCUCCGUGGGGCAGGAUUGAAGGCCCCCCCCCCUCGCAUGACCAGCUCGGACCCCCUGCCGCAGCCUUGCUCCAGGCCCUCCACCCACCCGCUGCACAGCAUUGCCUCCUCCUCCUCCUGAUCUUCCCCAACACCUUCAGUUUCAACUACAUGGCUUCGACCUCUGCAUGGAUAUGGACAUUGGUUCAUACUUCUGCCCACCCGGCUUCGACCUCCGGCCUGGACAUUGACACUGGCUCCGGUUCUGCCUGCACAUAUUCAACACCUGGCAGCAGUAGACAGGCCCCAUGUAGUGAGGCGGCCUGGCUCCCAGGCGCACCUGAGAGGGAUAAGCCAGAUCAGCUGCUUCAGUGGGCGGAGCCACCGCCACCUGUCCCCGCCCCCCGGAAGUCAAGGGGCGGGACAGGAAGUACAAAGGCCCGGGCCCAGCGCUCAGUUGGAGCCCGACCGUGGGAGGAGACAGACGCUGGUGCCCGAGCUCCUGCCGAACCAAACCUGCCCCAAGCCCGGUACCCAGAGGACGCCUGGUCGAACCUGCCCCUAGCCCGGUACCCAGAGGAGGACUGGCCGAGCCUGCCCCGAACCCGGUACCCCGAGGAUGACUGGUCGAGCCUGCCCUGAACCCGGUACCCAGAGGAGGACUGGCCGAGCCUGCCCCAAGCUCGGUACCCCGAGGAGGAGUCGAGCCCACCGGUACACCCAUCUCCUGAGGAGCCGAUGCUGGUAGACCCCCCUGCUGAAGCCGCAACGACACAGGCACCAGUGGAGGGGGAGAGUGGAAGUGGCCCGGGGAUAGCCGACCCUAGUCUGGCUGCCGCUGACCCUGAGCCUAUGUCAGUGUGUUGCGGCCAGGAUC